rnacentral:snRNA from 1 species
AAAAGCCAGUGGCGCGAA